UACGGAGGGUGCAAGCGUUGUUCGGAAUCAUUGGGCGUAAAGCGCGUGUAGGCGGCUUGGCAAGUCAGUUGUGAAAGCCCGGGGCCCAACCCCGGAACUGCAUCUGAAACUGCUUGGCUCGAGUCCCGGAGAGGAAGGCAGAAUUCCCGGUGUAGGGGUGAAAUCCGUAGAUAUCGGGAGGAACACCGGUGGCGAAGGCGGAUCUCUGGGCCUUACCUGACGCUCAGGCGCGAAAGCUAGGGGAGCGAACAGG
rnacentral:rRNA from 1 species